rnacentral:rRNA from 1 species
UAGAGGGUGCUCGAAAGAGAGCCGUAACACAGGUGCUGCAUGGCUGUCGUCAGCUCGUGUCGUGAGAUGUUGGGUUAAGUCCCGCAACGAGCGCAACCCUUGUCAUUAGUUGCUACAUUCAGUUGGGCACUCUAAUGAGACUGCCGGUGACAAGCCGGAGGAAGGUGGGGAUGACGUCAAGUCCUCAUGGCCCUUAUAGGUGGGGCUACACACGUCAUACAAUGGCUGGUACAAAGGGUUGCCAACCCGCGAGGGGGAGCCAAUCCCAUAAAGCCAGUCGUAGUCCGGAUCGUAGUCUGCAACUCGACUACGUGAAGUCGGAAUCGCUAGUAAUCGUGGAUCAGAAUGUCACGGUGAAUACGUUCCCGGGUCUU